GCUUGGAGCGGCCACGACUUUGGCUGAACGAAGGGGCCUCGGGACGAACGAUGGUGGCAUGGAACGACCGCAACACGAAGACAGUGGCGUGGGACGAACUGCGAUGACAGUGGCUUCGGACGAACGGUGGGGGUCAGCCCUCGGAAAUGAAGAUUAUUGCUGCUUACUUGUUGGAUGUUUUGCGAGGAAAUGCUUCUCCUUCAACCUGUUUUUAAUUUGUUCAAGUGUUCUUGUGUUGUAUAAAUUUGUGUUGUUUAAAAUCCUUAUUUUGUUGUAGAAUAAUCUGUGUGAGGUUUCUUUUUCUAUUUUUUAUUAUUAUUCUAAUCUAUUUUGGAAUUGAUGAUGAAUUUUACAUUACCGUGAACAAUUUGUGUUGUAAAGAGACAACGCAUUUAUGAUUAAUUUCUCAAAUUAAAAAUGCAUUAAAGAAA